GUGUCAGCAGCCGCGGUAAUACGUAGGUGGCAAGCGUUAUCCGGAAUUAUUGGGCGUAAAGUGCGCGUAGGCGGUUUUUUAAGUCUGAUGUGAAAGCCCACGGCUCAACCGUGGAGGGUCAUUGGAAACUGGAAAACUUGAGUGCAGAAGAGGAAAGUGGAAUUCCAUGUGUAGCGGUGAAAUGCGCAGAGAUAUGGAGGAACACCAGUGGCGAAGGCGACUUUCUGGUCUGUAACUGACGCUGAUGUGCGAAAGCGUGGGGAUCAAACAGGAUUAGAUACCCGAGUAGUCC
rnacentral:rRNA from 1 species